rnacentral:rRNA from 1 species
AGAGUUUGAUCCUGGCUCAGAGUGAAUGCUGGCGGCGUGCCUAAUACAUGCAAGUCGAACGAGAAAGCUUUCUUCGGAAGGCAAGUACGGUGGCAGACGGGUGAGUAAUGCAUAGAUAAUCUACCCUUAAGUGAGGAAUAACCCACCGAAAGGUGAGCUAAUACCUCAUAGUAUUAAUUUCUAUUAAGGAUUUUAAUUAAAGGAGGGGCUUCCUAUAUGGAACCUUUCGCUUGAGGAUGAGUCUAUGUCCUAUUAGCUAGAUGGUGGGGUAAUGGCCUACCAUGGCAAUGAUGGGUAGCCGAGCUGAGAGGCUGAUCGGCCACACUGGAACUGAAACACGGUCCAGACUCCCACGGGAGGCUGCAGUAGGGAAUUUUGCGCAAUGGACGAAAGUCUGACGCAGCGACGCCGCGUGAGGGAUGAAAGCCUUCGGGUUGUAAACCUCUGUCAAAAAGGAUCAAGAAUAUUGUGGUUAAUACCCAUGAUAUUUGAUUUAACUUUUAAAGGAAGCCCCGGCUAACUACGUGCCAGCAGCCGCGGUAAUACGUAGGGGGCAAGCAUUACUCGGAUUUACUGGGCGUAAAGGGAGCGUAGGCGGUUUGAUAAGUUAGUGGUGAAAGUCCUCAGCUUAACUGAGGGAUUGCCAUUAAAACUGUCAAACUUGAGGACAGGAGAGGAAAGUGGAAUUUCCGGUGUAGCGGUGGAAUGCGUAGAUAUCGGAAAGAACACCAGAAGCGAAGGCGGCUUUCUGGACUGUUCCUGACGCUGAGGCUCGAAAGCUAGGGUAGCGAACAGGAUUAGAUACCCUGGUAGUCCUAGCCGUAACCGAUGGAUACUAGACCUUACUUUUAGUGGGGUCGUAGCUAACGCGUUAAGUAUCCCGCCUGGGUAGUACGGUCGCAAGUCUGAAACUCAAAGGAAUUGACGGGGACCCGCACAAGCAGUGGAGCAUGUGGUUUAAUUCGAUUCAACGCGAAAAACCUUACCUGGGCUUGAACUGUAGGCAUUAGCAACCUGAAAGGGAUUGUGAUUCGUCUUUGACGAAACCUACAGAGGUGCUGCAUGGCUGUCGGCAGCUCGUGUCGUGAGAUGUUGGGUUAAGUCCCGCAACGAGCGAAACCCUUGCUCUUAGUUGUCAGCGAGUAAUGUCGGAUACUUUAAGAAGACUGCCGGUGAUAAAUCGGAGGAAGGUGGGGAUGACGUCAAGUCAGCAUGGCCUUUAUGUCCAGGGCUACACACGUGCUACAAUGGGUGGUACAGCGGGAAGCUAAGCCGCGAGGUGGAGCAAAUCCUCAAAACCACUCUUAGUUCGGAUUGCAGGCUGCAAUUCGCCUGCAUGAAGUUGGAAUUGCUAGUAAUCACGGAUCCGCAUUGCCGUGGUGAAUUCGUUCUCGGGUCUUGUACACACCGCCCGUCACAUCACGAAAGCUGGUGGUGCCAGAAGUCAUUUUCCCAACUUCGGAGGGAGAUGCCUAAGGCAUUGCUAGUGAUUGGGGUGAAGUCGUAACAAGGUA